UGAAACGACGUGCCAGUGUCCGAGGUAAUCGGGCGGGGGCAAGCGUUGUCCGGAAUUAUUGGGCGGAAAGCGCGGAGAGGCGGUCCUUGAAUGCUGAGGUGAAAGCCCACGGGUCAAACGUGGAGGGUCAUUGGAAACGGGGGGACUUGAGUGCAGAAGAGGAAAGCGGAAUGCCACGUGUAGCGGUGAAAUGCGUAGAGAUGUGGAGGAACACCAGUGGCGAAGGCGGCUUUCUGGUCUGUAACUGACGCUGAGGCGCGAAAGCGUGGGGAGCAAACAGGAUUAGAUACCCGUGUAGUC
rnacentral:rRNA from 1 species